AUCGCUUCUCAGCCUUUUGGCUAAGAUCAAGUGUAGUACAAUAAACUCAUAAGCAUGAUGCCAUCUGGAAUGAGAAGUGAAGAGUUUUCCUUUUCCGCCAGUCUGGCAGCAUGCAGUGAGGAUAAACUUUC
rnacentral:sRNA from 1 species